UUAAUUGAAGAGUUUGAUCAUGGCUCAGAUUGAACGCUGGCGGCAGGCCUAACACAUGCAAGUCGAGCGGUAACAGAGAGUAGCUUGCUACUUUGCUGACGAGCGGCGGACGGGUGAGUAAUGCUUGGGAACAUGCCUUGAGGUGGGGGACAACAGUUGGAAACGACUGCUAAUACCGCAUAAUGUCUACGGACCAAAGGGGGCUUCGGCUCUCGCCUUUAGAUUGGCCCAAGUGGGAUUAGCUAGUUGGUGAGGUAAUGGCUCACCAAGGCAACGAUCCCUAGCUGGUUUGAGAGGAUGAUCAGCCACACUGGGACUGAGACACGGCCCAGACUCCUACGGGAGGCAGCAGUGGGGAAUAUUGCACAAUGGGCGCAAGCCUGAUGCAGCCAUGCCGCGUGUGUGAAGAAGGCCUUCGGGUUGUAAAGCACUUUCAGUCAGGAGGAAAGGUUAGUAGUUAAUACCUGCUAGCUGUGACGUUACUGACAGAAGAAGCACCGGCUAACUCCGUGCCAGCAGCCGCGGUAAUACGGAGGGUGCGAGCGUUAAUCGGAAUUACUGGGCG
rnacentral:rRNA from 1 species